rnacentral:rRNA from 1 species
AGCCCUGAAAAUGGAUGGCGCUGAAGCGUUGAGCCUAUACCGAGCCGUCGCCGCAAUAUAUGCUCCCAGGGAGGCAUGCGGCGACGAGUAGGAGGGUCGCUGCGGUGAGCGUGGAAGCCUGGCGCGUGAGCGCGGGUGGAGCCGCCGCGGGUGCAGAUCUUGGUGGUAGUAGCAAAUAUUCAAACGAGAACUUUGAAGGCCGAGAAGGAA